GAUGAACGCUGGCGGUAUGCUUAACACAUGCAAGUCGAACGGACUCUUCGGAGUUAGUGGCGGACGGGUGAGUAACGCGUGAGAAUCUGGCUUUGGGUUCGGGACAACCACUGGAAACGGUGGCUAAUACCGGAUGUGCCGAGAGGUAAAAGAGAAAUUGCCUGAAGAUGAGCUCGCGUCUGAUUAGCUAGUUGGUGAGGUAAAGGCUCACCAAGGCAGCGAUCAGUAGCUGGUCUGAGAGGAUGACCAGCCACACUGGGACUGGGACACGGCCCAGACUCCUACGGGAGGCAGGAGUGGGGAAUUUUCCGGAAUGGGCGAAAGGCUGACGGGGCCAUACCGCGUGAGGGAAGAAGGCUCUUGGGGUGUAAACCUCUUUUCUCAGGGAAGAACAAAAUGACGGUACCUAAGGAAUCAGCAUCGGCUAACUCCGUG
rnacentral:rRNA from 1 species